rnacentral:rRNA from 1 species
CCUACGGGCGGCUGCAGUGGGGAAUCUUGGACAAUGGGCGCAAGCCUGAUCCAGCCAUGCCGCGUGAGUGACGAAGGUCUUCGGAUUGUAAAGCUCUUUUGCCAGGGACGAUAAUGACGGUACCUGGAGAAUAAGCCCCGGCUAACUUCGUGCCAGCAGCCGCGGUAAUACGAAGGGGGCUAGCGUUGUUCGGAAUUACUGGGCGUAAAGCGCACGUAGGCGGAUUUGUAAGUCAGGGGUGAAAUCCCGGGGCUCAACCUCGGAACUGCCUUUGAUACUGCAAAUCUCGAGUCCGAUAGAGGUGAGUGGAAUUCCUAGUGUAGAGGUGAAAUUCGUAGAUAUUAGGAAGAACACCAGUGGCGAAGGCGGCUCACUGGAUCGGUACUGACGCUGAGGUGCGAAAGCGUGGGGAGCAAACAGGCUUAGAUACCCCUGUAGUC